rnacentral:lncRNA from 1 species
UUUAUUGUUUAUAUAUUAUCAAGCAGGCAUCUGAUGACCUGUGGAAUUAGAAAUACCAGCAGACAUUUCCAAGGGGUAGGUGCACAGGUCAACAGAACUAAACUACAGUGAUCUUCCCUUAGAUCCUUUUCUACUGAGGGGUGUAGGUGGAGACACUGCGGAGGCCACGUGAAAGUGGCAGCUAGCUCUACUUUCAAAAGAGAAGCAGUGGUUCAGUGACCCUGAGCAUUCUGUGUGCAGGAGGGAGCUGCCUGGACAGCAAAAAACGUUCAGGGAAGAGA